rnacentral:misc_RNA from 1 species
GAUGAAGAACGUAGCGAAAUGCGAUAAGUAAUGCGAAUUGCAGAAUCCGUGAGUCAUCGAAUCUUUGAACGCACAUUGCGCCCUUUGGUAUUCCGAAGGGCAUGCCUGUUCGAGCGUCAUUAUCACCCCUCAAGCCCCGGCUUGGUGUUGGGCUCUCGGUGGUCGUCUCCGACCACCCGUCUCAAAGAUAGUGACGGCGUCCCAGAGGGAACCGGUACGAGGAGCUUUCACGAGCAUGUACGCGGGACGACUCUGCGGGCGACGGUCUUAUUUACUUUAUAUACAAGUGUUGACCUCGGAUCAGGUAGGAAUACCCGCUGAACUUAAGCAUAUCAAUAAGCGGAGGA